ensembl:lincRNA
CGGGAGGCCCCACCUCCAAACCCUCAGCUUGCUGUUCCCCACCCUGCCCAGCUGGACUGGGAAUUUCGCCCUCAGGGAGGACAGCCCCAGGUGAUUAAAUCCCUGCUGGCACCACAAGGAGCCUAGUUUCAGUGAUAAUGAGGAAGUCCUUGGACGUGAAGCUCUGGCUGCCCUGCCCAAGCUCAGAGGACAACACGGAGUUGGGAAUAGGAUGGGGAUGAGAAUUGGAUGCCGCACAUCAAACACAGAUAUCCACCAAGUAAAAUGAAGCCCUCAUAAACGUGUGCUCAGCCCCCCUUCUCUCUCUCUAUCACAUUUCAGGGAUUGGAACAAGGAUUUAUCCUGCUAAGUGGAGCCUCUCAAUGCCAUGCCCCAUUUGCAAAUCCAAUUUGAUGAUGUUUCCAACUAAAGCAACUGGAUUUCUCCUAAAGUGUCCAAAACCCUUUCAGAAUUUUGGGGUUCUGAGCCAGGGAGUCCCAGGAGGAGCUAGAACUCAGAACCAAUUUGAUGGGGAACGAAAGCACAGCAGAGAACAUAUUUGCAUCACAAACGCACUUGCACCUCUUUCCAGCAGCAAACAACUCAAAGUCUUGGAACUUUGGCUUUGCCUUUCCUCAGAAUUCCAAGACUCUGAACUCUCUCUUCUUUAACUUCCUUCCUCCCGCUCUCUCCUGCCUUUCUUGCUUUGCCUUCUCAGCCCUCCAUCCAAUCCCCCUUCCUAAUGUUGUGACGCCCCAAGAAAUUAGACCCCAAAAUUGGAUGAGUACCUGGAGCCUUGAUUCUGUGGUGUUUGAAAAAUUGUGUCCAAUCAGUCGACGGGCAACGCUGACAGAGGCUCUGGAGAUUUCGGUCCAAGAGUGCAGAUCUUCCCCACCCAUGGCUGCAAGGAUUAAACACAUGAGAAAGCCUCCAGCCCCAAGGAGCAGCAGACCAACCCUUAAAUGCGGAUUGAUAUUUCUGAGUUCAACACUGAAAGGAACUUAAGAGGAACCGUUUCGUUAUGCUCGAUAGCCAUUCAAUCAAAAAAUAGUUUUGUUUUUUUUUAAAGAUUUAUUUUUAUUUAUUUAAUUCCCCUCCCCUCCCCUGGUUGUCUGUUUUCUGUGUCUUUUUGCUGCGUCUUGUUUCUUUGUCCGCUUCGUCAGCGGCACGGGAAGUGUGGGCGGUGCCAUUCCUGGGCAGGCUGCUCCCUCCUUCGCUCUGGGCAGCUCUCCUUAUGGGUGCACUCCUUGCGCGUGGGGCUCCCCUACGCGGGGGACACCCCUGCAUGGGACAGCACUCCUUGCGUGCAUCAGCACUGCGCAUGGGCCAGCUCCACACGGGUCAAGGAGGCCCGGGGCUUGAACCGGGGACCUCCCAUGUGGUAGACGGACGCCCUAACCACUGGGCCAAAGUCCGUUUCCCAAAAUAACUAUUUUGACUCUGCUAUGUUAGGAAUUAAGUUCAUCACCAGAGAAACCAAGGUGAGCAGAACCUGAGUCGUUGCCUGCCCUCAGGAAGCAGUUUUAUAUCACAGGAGCAGGAGCCUUUUAAAGGGGUCCCUGGUGCCAUGGAACCAACUGACAGAGCCAGUUAAGGGGGCUUGUCACAAAGGGCUUGGGCCUGUCUGAAGGAGACAAGGUAAAAAUUAGCAAUAGCAACAUUCUCCAAGGGAACUCCCUGCAGGGCUCAUGCUGGGAAAAAAGAGAAAACUCUAAAUUGUAUUUCCACUCCUUUUUAUUUGUUAAUAUAACAGUUAUAUUGAGGUAUAAUUCACAUAGCAUUUAACUCACCCAUUUAAAGUGUAUAAAUCCAUGAUUUUUAGAUAAUUCAGAGUCCUGUAGCUGUCAUCAAAACCAAUUUGAGAACAUUUUCAUCACCUAAUGAGUAAAGAAACCCCCUACCCAUUAGCAGUCACUCCCCAUUUUCCCCUCAACCUCCCCCAGGCUCUAGCCACCACCAAUCUACUUUCUGUCUAUUGAUUUGCCUAUUUUGGACAUUUCAUGUAAGUGGAAUCAGUAAAUAUUUGUCCUUUUGUAUCUGGCUUCUUUCACGUAGCAUAAUGUUUUCAAGGUUCAUCCAUGUUGUAGCAUGUAUCAGAACUUCAUUUCUUUUUAUGGCUGAAUAAUAUUUCAUUGUAUGGAUGUGUCAUGAUGAUGGGAGUGAGUGUUGCUGGGGGGGGA